ensembl:lncRNA
AUGUUCGGAUGUACCGAUCCUGCCAAAUUGCAAAUGUUAUUUGCACCUUGUCUAUACCAGAACCAAUGGGGAGGACAGCCUCACUUCUCAACUAGGGGUGGUAUUUCCUCCAUAUUGCUGUGUUCUGGUUGGCUUGGUGGUAUUUCCUCCAUAUUGCUGUGUUCUGGUUGGCUUGGUGGUAUUUCCUCUAUAUUGCUGUGCUCUGGUUGGCUUGGUGGUAUUUCCUCUAUUGCUGUGCUCUGGUGGCUUGGUGGAUUUUCUUCCAUAUUUGCUGUGUUCUGGUUGGCUUGGUGGUAUUUCCUCUAUAUUGCUGUGUUCUGGUUGGCUUGGUGGUAUUUCCUCUAUAUUGCUGACACCUUAUCCUUCCUUUCAGAUCUACACAAGUGUGGAAGGAUUAGAGGUGGUAGAAGGUUUCAGGCCCAUACACACUGUAACCACACAUUUACACAUACGUCCCACAAGAGGGCGCCUCAGGACCAGCAGAAGAACAGGACUUCACACGCAGACCUUACAGCCCCGAUAGGGGAGAACUGCACCAUCGAGCCCAACGUGACCAUCGGGGGCGGUGCUGAAUGAACGGGGUCAGAAAAAAGAGGUGUACGAUACUGAAAGGGUCAAGGGUCAGGUCACACUCCUGGCUAGAGUCCUGGGUCGUAGGGUGGAGCUCCUCCGUAGGACAGUGGGUGAACAGAGAGGAGACACACUCACUCUAAUCCAUUUUUGUUUGAUAUGGUCAUAUCAUAAAGAUUUUUAAGGUGAGUAGAGGACAUUCUACUGCCUCAUCAUCACGGUGCUCUGAUGGGAAUACAUAGUGCAACCUGGAGGUAUAUAUCAUCGCACAGUACAUGACACAAUGGUGGUAGUGUACAAAACAUUUAAGGACACCUUCCUAAUAUUGAGUUUCACCCCUUGUUUUCCGUCAGAACGGCCUCAAUUCGUCGGGGCAUUGGACUCUACAAGGUGUCGAAAGCGUUCCACAGGGAUGCUGGCCCAUGGCGACUCCACUGCUUCCCACAGUUGUGUCCAGUUGGCUGGAUGUCCUUUGGGUGGUGGACCACCCUUCUUGAAACACACAGGAAACUGUAGAGUGUGAGAAAUCCAGCAGCAUUGCAGUUCUUGACCCAAACCGGUGUGCCUGGCACCUACUACCAUAUCCCGUUCAAAGGCACUUAAAUAUUUGGUCUUUCCUAUUCACCCCCUGAAUGGCACACAUACACAAUCCAUGUCUCAAUUGUCUCAAGGCUUUUAAAUGCUUCUUCAACCCGUCUCCUCCCCUUCAUCUACACUGAUUGAAGUGGAUUUAACAGGUGACAUCAAUAAGGGAUCAUAGCUUUCACCUGGAUUCACCUGGUCAGUCAAUGUCGUGGAAAGAGCAGGUGUUCUUAAUGUUUUGUCACACUAUACAUACAGCAUGUGAGCCAGGUCUGAUUGAUCUAUAACAGUAUCGAGCCAAAUAAAACUGAAAAUAUUAUAUAUGUCUGUGUGUCAUCCCUGAAAGCGCUUUCUGUCCCUCAUUGUUCUUGAAAUCAUUUUGAAAAUAUUUCCCGUAAUGUCCAGUAUGUGACCCCAGGUUGGGGAGUAACCAGGUCGGGGAGUAACGGGACCCCCGGGUCGGGGAGUAACCAGGUCGGGGAGUAACGGGACCCCCGGGUCUGGGAGUAGCGGGACCCCCUGGUCGGGGAGUAGCGGGACCCCCGGGUCUGGGAGUAACGUGACCCCGGGUCUGGAGUAGCGGGACCCCCGGGUCGGGGAAA